UCGGACAUGGUGUAUGGUACACGGCCUCCCAACAUGUGGGCAUAGAUGAGAUUGUUGGAGGCAGACUGGGGUUCGACUCCCCGUGUCCGAA